ensembl:lncRNA
UUCAUAAAAAAAAGUUCUGUUAAAAAGGUUUAUUCUGUUUUGAAAGAGUAGACCAAGUCACUGUUUAUAUAUUUACCAGUGGGUGGGUUGGCUUCAUAUUAUUGUGAAAAAUGAUAGCGCAUAAAUGGACUCUGUUCUUUUUCCAUGUUGUUCAGGUUACCAGCAUCUAGGGGUUCCUGGGUCUGGAGCAUAUGGAAUUUAAGUUUCCUUGUUAUGAGAAAAAAUAGGUUAGGAAUGUCUACAGAUCUUCUCCAUUUCACCUAACAGAAACUAGUCAAGUUGAUAAAUGUCUAGAUUAUAGCUUAGACACUGAAAAUUUGGUAAUGUUGCUUUGUGCUGUUAUUGUCAUUCACACUUUCAAUUUGAGAGAUACGUUUUCUCAUUUUCAUUCGUUCAGUGAAUACAUUUUUAUUACUGAAAAAACAGCUUUCAGUGAAGGAAACUGAAAUGAGAUAAGCUUUUGAUUUUGUUUUUUUUUUUACUGCAGCUGCUGAGUGUAGGACUAUAACAGUUCAGCAAAAAAUAGCAACUGCUAUUUACUUUAGACAAACCAUGAGGUUAACCUGUGGUUACUCUUGAUAAAAAACAAGCACACUUACACAUAUCUGUGCAUUUAUGUUUCUCCCAAUGGGCCAAUUAGCAUCUGCUUCUGUGAAGCACUGAUCGCUUGCUGCGAAAAGAGAAGGAUCCUCGCCUCUUUCUGACUCUAAUGGAAUGUGAGGGCACUAAAACCCACUAUCAGCAUCUGGCCCUUAGAGAUUAAUGGUACUGUGCAAAGAGUAUUACUAAACAAUAUGCAGCACAGAAGGCAUUUUUGGAACACUGCAAAAAAUAGAGUCUCAUUUUAAGACUCUCAUUACUGUCAUCUAAAACAGAUGGGAAAGAGAUGAAAGUUUAAGAUUAUAGUAAAAAAAUAUUCCUGUGCCAAAUGCAACUUCUGAGAAAAAGUUUGUAAUAGAUUGACAGGAACUAGAUUUAAAAAAAAAAAAAAAAAAGAAAAAAAAAGAAAAAAAAAGAAAAAAAGAAAGAAAUCUGGCAAGCAUUGCAAAAGAAAAAACUGCAUCGAAAGAGAUAGCCGGAAUAAUGAUCUAAGAAACAGCACACUCUGGAAAUGUCAGAGAAAUGGAAAAAUAUGUUUUACUGCUGCUUUCAUAGAAAAUGAAAGGGAAGGAUUGUAACUUAAAUGCAAAAUAAGGAUCAGAAACAGGAAAACAAAAAUUUGCUAUUUGUACUUUGUCCACUGUAAAAUCGGUGUCACUGAGGUCUUAUAUGAAAAAUGCUUGUCAUCAUGUAUAUUGACUUUUUUACAAUAUUGGGGUCCAGGAAGUGGAAGGAUAUAGAAAAAGUAGUCCUUACAUAAAUAGUGUCAUAUGGAAAUUUGGUUGUGUGAGGUUGUAUGAGGUUUCUGUCUCCAUUCAUUGUCUCUGUGAGUGCACAAGGAUAACUAUAAAAUAGGGGCUAAUUUUCAAAUGUCUGUGCAUAGGAUUAUGUGACUAAGUCUUUUAACAUGAACACAUUUAGUACACAUCUUUUGUCACUCACCCCAGCAGAUAAAUGAAUGCUAAUUACCUACAUUCAGAGAGCUAGGUUUAAAAUGUGAGCCUUUAUUUCUCAUUUUUAAGUAAUGGACUCUAGUUGUGAAUUUU